AGCAAAGGCUAAUCACCCAAAGAGAUAGGGCCUUCAUUCCUUGCUUCUUAGAUCCAUGGAUUUGGAUAGAAAAUAGGUUUCUCCAAGUUCCCAAAAUAGGGAACCUCUAAGUCUCUUCACCAAGGUUUGAUUGUAGAAGAAAUGAGUGACCUUGGAGUAGUAGGAUUGCUAGAUGUACCCUCCAAGGUGUUGGCCUCUUUAGAGAGAAAAUGGAGAGACAAUUCUCACCCAUUUUCACCCAAAAUAAACCCUUAAUCACCUUAAUGAAUAUUUGGCUAUAAAGUCCUUUAUAUAGUCACUUCUUUAAGUGACCUAAACAACCAAAACCCUAAUUCAUCACCAUAUGGCCGGCCACCUAAGGAAUUUUGGGCUUUUGGGCUUUAAUGAAUCUUUAUUCAUUAAAUUGUCAUACAACUUAAGUUAAUGGGCUUGACGUUCGAAGCCCAUUGGGCCUUAAGGUCCAAAACUAUCCCGAGGUCUUUAACGAACUUAUUCGUUUGAUUAAUUAACAUAUUAAUUAAUCCUUGCCAUAAAUAAAUGAUUAAACCAUUUAAUCAUUCUUACUCAUUUCCGUUUAAUCUCCAAUCUCCUACCUUUUUUACGGGUGUGCGAUCCAUUAGGUUCCUUUUAGCGAGGUAGUGGGCGAUUAAAAACCAUUUUACAUCGAUUGUGAAUUGAAACUUAUUUUCAAUUUCUCCCUUUAGUGAUUACACACGUUUAGGGCUUCCACAAACCAUGAGUGACACCUAGCAGCAUAUCAUGGUUACCCAAGCUAAUCAGAAGAGGUGGAGAACCUAUUCAGUUCGGGAUUACAAAUGCAAUACGGUCCUUCUCUAAUCUAAUACUCUUGACCACAUUGUUUGGUUAUGAUAGUUUAUUUACUCAUGUCUACUAUCCAAUGUGAAUCGUUUGCUUAUAUGAUUUCCUUGAAUGUGAUUUGGAACGCAUUCCCCUAAAUCUCAUUCAUACUCUGGCCAGAGAUUCCAAAUCAUAUCAUAGAGUAUUCUCCCUCAAAUUGUUUGAAGGUUAGAGAUCCCUUGUUGCGCAUUCACUUCUCUCCAUAGCUAAGUGGCUUAACCCCAACGAUGCCGUGGACACCCCGAAGGGGGUGAAUUGACAUAAUCAAAGAUCAAGGACUUAACCACAAGACAACUGUGAUGCCUCAGGUCAAAGGACUACUUUGCAUUAUCCCAACCAUGAGUUCUCAUGUGACAUGGAAUAUGAGAACUCUUCGUUGAUCACGUUCAGUGAACUCAUUCUCUUAUUGAGCACCUACGUACUUGUCUUGAUGUCACACACACCAAUGACUCGAGACUAGUCACUCUCCCUGAGAGAAGACACAGUACGUACUGAUCUUAACGGACUGUCAAUGCCCAAUUGGCAAUCCUAUGAUCAGGAACAUUUAGGAUGUGUCUACGAAAGAAUGGUCUCAUUAAUCUAACUUCAUUAGAUUGCAUUCUCCCAAUCACAUAUUCCUUGGACUUUAUCGUUUAAGCAUAUAACAUUUAUAUGAGACGGCUCAAACAAUAAUCUUUGCCCUUUAUAUGUUUAAACUAGAUUAGUUUAACAUGUGAAAUGUCCGUAAAGUAUCAUCAUAUGAUUGGUUUUAGGGCACAUUUCCAACAAUCUCCCACUUGCACUAGAGCCAAUCAGCUUGGUCAUCAGUGAUGAUACCUCUUCUGUAGUCAUUUCAUAAAUGGCUGAAUAGUAGGCCUAGGCAAGUGGAUAUCUAUAUGUGUUAUCCAUAGAAGCAACCUUGAGAAUAACGACGUCACCAUUAUACAUGAUUCUCAAUCAUGUGGUUCAGUCUCUCAUUUGAGUUCGGAUCUUGAUGAGACCUUGAUUCCCAGGCUUGAGCUAUCGCCCCAGUGUUAGUGUCAUACACUUUCUGGUUGGAACCGAAUAGAGAGUUCAUAAAUGAACUUUCCCAUCCAAACAACAUUGUUGUAAACUUCUAUAUGGCAAUAUAUCUUGCAUUCAUAAUGGAACACACUAAAGUCAUUACUUUAAUGUUUCCAUCCAAAUAUCUCUUUAGUCAUAAUAAAGAGAUAUUCGUUUAUCUCUUCAUUCAUAAUGAAGAAACAUCCAAUGAUGGAUUAGAUUCAUAAUCUAAUACAUUUACGCUUCCAUUACGUUACUCUAAUUCUUCCUCGAUCUUUGAGGAAUUUAUCCUUUAGUAUUUCUUAAAUACUUAAGGACUCACUUGACAGUUGCCAUGGUUCUGAUCCUGGGCUUGCACUGAUAUCGUCUUGUACCGUUCUAGGUACAACUCAUAUCAAUGUUUUUCAUACAAUAUGAAAUACAUAAAUCACCUUUCUGCGUAUGCAUAAAGGAUUCUAUUUACGCAUUAUUUCUUUGGGAGUCAAAGGGUACGUUCCCUUUGAGAAGGGCAACUUGCUAGUCUCACUAGAAUCGUCCUUCUUAUUGAAGUUUAUCAUCAUAUGAGAAACUUCCUAGCAUCCAUUGUCUAUUAUUAGGGAUUGAUAUAAUCCAAUUAUAUCAUGAAAUAUAUCAUUAUAGAUUUCCAUCCCAUGUAUAUAGACUAUAUCUCCCAUAUAUACAUUCUAUCUUCAUAUAAUGUAUUAAAGUCAUAACUUUAACGAAGAAGUAUUCUUUUUCAUUUCCAAAAUUAAUAUAUCAUAUAUAUUUAAAUUUUUAGGAACAUGAUUAACUCCCACUAAUCUUUUGUAAACCUAGUAAACAAAAGAUUCAUUUACAUCUUUAUGAGAAAUCAAACGAUUUGAUCCUUUUUCUCAUAAAGAUGCAAAUAGCUCCCACUAGCUUGCUAAGAUCCAUGAUGGAUGGAUCUCUACAACUUACAUGUCUUGUGAUUUAUAGUUUUAGACAUAUAUUAUCAAGACUAUCUUAAUAAUGGUUUCGGAAACCCAUAUUAUGUCCAAACAUUGAAUCACCAUUUAGUUGUAGCUAGCAAUCUUCGAAUUAAUUGAAACUAAGACUACGUCAAAAAUGGUUUCCUUCAAAGUCAACCAUUCUCUUUGAUUGUAGUCACCUUAAGCUACCAAUUAGCUUAUGAAGGUUUCAUUAUUUCGGGUCAAAUGGUACUUUACCAUUUCCUUGAGUAUAUAUCGUAUAUGUACUCAAUGUAGUCAUAAAGUUCAAAACCAUUCAACUGAGACGGUUUAUAAAUCCUUAUCGACUACCUUGGAGCUUGUGGUAUAGGAACUAGGUUGUUAUAUUUGUUGAUUACUUAUCUUGUCUCUCAAAGAACCCAUUCUUUGAGUUUCUAUCUCUCGUUCAUUUGCUUUUAGGCAAAUCACAUUGUAGAGGAUUACAAUGAACUACCCAACAAAACAACAUUUGUUAGUUGGUUUAUAGAAGCGAUAUCCAAAAGUUAAUUUAAGGAUAUCCUACAAGAUUGUUAUCAAACAAAUAUUGCUUAUUAGCACACAACCCCAAAUCUUAACAUGCUUAAGAUUUGUCUUUCUUUCCAACUACAUCUUAUGGAGUCAUGAAAAAUAUUGGAAGAUCUUCUAAUUGACAAUCAUAUUGUUUUAGAAGUAUAUAUCCUAUAUAUGGGUAAUAGAUAACAUCUAACGAACUAAAUCUUAUUCGAGUUCGUUCUUCUCCUAAUGGAGAAAUAUAUUAUCUUAUGAUGCUAUUUUCCUUGAUAUCUUUCAAGGAAACUUAUCUAAAGUGUUACCUUUCCUUGGAUCAAAUCUAAGGAGGUAAAUACUUUAGAUGUCUUACUCAUCAACUUACAUUUACUUGAAUUCUUUGAAACCUUUUGCAAAGUAUUCGGACUUGUGUUUAUUCAAAAUAAACUAUAGUCCAACCGAGAGUGAUCUUCGGUGAAUGUCAUUCAACAUGAGUAGUAUUAUGUUUGUGGACAAGUGCCACUAACAUCUAAGUGAAUUAACCUCAACAACUUUGUGAUUCUUUCUUCUUUCCAAAAGAAUAAAGAUUCGAACAUUUCGCCUCUAUACAAUUUUAACAAGAAGGUAUUGGAUCCGGAUCUAACGAUCCAAAGCAUCCAUUUAUGACCAACUCGUAAUUUAUGUUUUAGAGGUAUCACAACUUUAGUUGGGAUUAGUCACUACCUUGCAACCUUUUGGGUUUUAAGCAUCAUUAUAUUCUAAACAGUUAACACUACCAUAUCAUCUCUACUAUAGAGACAAUCAAUUAGAUUACUAUAAUCCAAUUUCUUUGGUAGUUCAUAUGAGGAAGUAAGUACUAUCUGCUUUCGCAGAGAUCUAUAUCUUAUUCACGUUCCGUAUGUGAAGCACCUUUUUCUUCUCUCAUAUAUCUUCUACUUCUUAUUAGUCACACUUUUACAACGAUUUGUAAAACAUAGUUACUAAUACGGAAUCAUACAUUCAAGUAGAAGAACCAACUGUUUUGAACUAUUCAAGAACAUUUUACAACACCUUCGAAAGGUGUGUUCUUGACACUUGCAAGACAUUUCUUGCAAAUACCCCUUCCAUGUCCAUCUUUUCAUAAAGAAAGUUUGUUCCCUUGGAGUUAUUUAUCUUCUUCAUUUGACUUCUCCUUUGACUACAAUAGUCAUGGUCCCUAAACUCCCACUAUCUCUCUUGAAACCUUUUUUUCAAUUGUGUUAUACACAUCAAACAUUUUGGAGAGCAUGUGGUUUAUUGUUCACUACAUAGUUUACAAUAAGCUUAGUGAACGAUUAGGAUAGGGAAACAAAGGUGAAGUCCUUGCCUAGUUUCCGUCUCGUUAAGUGUUUUAACACUUCAACACUUAAUGAUUCAAAAUCAUCAUAAGUCCAUGUUAAUGGACUAUUUUUGUCAACCAACCAUUAUGUUCUAAACAUAAUUACAAACCUUCAAGAGUUGUACAAGGCAACUCUCAUUUCUUCAUACAACAAUUUGUAAAGUGAAGAAUCAUGGCACAUUAACGUGUCCAUGCCUUUGUGCUUUCUUCUCAAGUUCCUUGUUCAUGUAACAAAGAAACAAGCACUAAGUGUUUGCAUUGACUAAGGGUUGUUCAAAGCAACUCUUAUUUCUUCAUACAACAAUUUGUAAUUGAAGAAUUAUGACAUUUUAAAAGUGUUGUCCUCUUUAUGAUAGACCUUUUCUAACAUAUUCUUCUAAUGAUACAUUAUCAAUAGGAAGAUUGUGAGGAUGAGACUACUUAGGUACAUAUACAAUCCAUUUAAGACAAUUCUUUGGGAUUGUGUACCAAGUCCGGAAACUAAAACAUUCGGUUUUUAUUUGUCAAGUGUUGGAUAGCGUUUGCAAAUAUAUUGGUAAACAAAUACAUAACGAAUAUAAAUUGAUUGAUUUUAAGCCAUUUGAUUCGGGUCUUUAAAUCAAAAUAGCACCACCCACUAUUUUUGGCAAAUUCCAUAUCCCUCAUUGGAAUUCGAGAGUUUUGGAUGAAACUCUUAGUAGGUUAUGGGAGGACUCACUAUUACCAAGCCCACCUCAGAAUGAUAUGAUAUUGGCUAGCAACAAUAAUAAUGAGAGAGUACGCUUACUCAUUUGCAACUAAUGCAAGUACCCAUCUUAUUUGGCCUCUAGAGAAUGAUGCCUCACAAUGAUAUGAUAUUGGCUCCAUUGCACUUAGUUAAGUCAUUCCCACCAUGCUUAGUUCAAGUAGGGGUUCAAGAAUAGCCUCAGAAUGAUAUCCAUAUUGGCCAUCACUCGUUGCCUACCUUUCACUUUCAUCAUGUUUAUAGGCUUCCUCCUGAAUGUAAGCACAUGCACUUUGCAACCCCAUGAACUAGGGUGAAUACGGUGUACGAGUCACAAACGAUUGGAGCCCACCACGGUGGAAGGCCACGAAAGAGUGUUCUAAAGCACUCUCACGCUUAUCAACUUAAUAAUGGUUUGGUUGAGGGUUUUAGGUCUCAUCACAUAUAAAUAUACAUUUUAAUCUCUAUUAAAACAAUUUUGGUCCUAUUACAACUAUUGGUCCAUAUGAUUGUUUUAGUUGUAUAUAAUACUCCCACUAUGCUUUUAAAACGGUUUUUAAAGCAAGAGUAUAUGUUACUACUAACAUAAGGUUUGCAUUCAUUUGAUGGACUAUAUAGUUGCCUUAGGGCCUUAGGAUGACUAUGAACCUUUGUUUAGAUUCAACACGAGCCUUGUGUUGAAUCUCGGUCUAGGGAUGGGAGAUUGAUUUUAGUUACGCGUUUAAUCACAUUAAGGCGUGUUGUCUUAGGGGCGUUGGACCCAACUACUUCAUUUUCAUGCAUAUCAAUAUAAAGCAAGAAAGAAGUACUUCAAAGUAAAGGUGAGCUUAUGCUCAUUACAACAUUUGCAUAUAACAAAUUACUUUAAAGUAAAGAAGAGCUUAAGCCCUUUUACAACAACAUUUGAUCAAAUCAAAUUACAACCAAAAUCUAAUCUACACAUUCCCAUGGUUCAAACAAAUUUGAAACGGCCUUUCACAUAGCUCAAUUAUAUAUUAGGCUUAGGUUCAUAAUCACCCUUUAAUUAAUUAACACUUUAACUAAUUAAAUUGAAUGCAACAUUUUCAUUUGGUUUUUGUAUCCAUAAAAUUGAUUUAAAUGGAGCUAAACAAAAUGAAAAUCCAAUUCUCAUUUAAAGAGACAAAACAAUUUUGUUCUCAAUCCUAAUUUGGGCCAUCAUGCAAUAACCACAACCUUUUGGGCCAUAUUGCGAAAACAUAAACUUUUGGGGUCACUUUGUAAAAACACAAAAGUCCACUACUUCAUGUAAAUACAACUAGAACCCAAAAUUUAAAUAAAUGCAAAAACUUCAUUAAAGGAGCAAAACAAUUUGUCCUUUAGCGUUUUUGGCCUUAACGUAAAAACGUAAACUUUCGGGUCAUAGUACAAAUACACAAAAGUAUCAAAACUUUAUGUAAUUGCAUAAAAGCCCCAAAAAUACCCUAUUUUAAUAGGGUGGCCGGCCAUUUAGGGAUAAAAGGUGUGGUGUGUGUUUUGAUUUAUUAGUUUUGUCAAAAACAAUCAAGUAGUGCUUUCACCUUUCAUAAAAAAUAAUAUAUGUUUUGAUGAUUGAUAUUUCUUUCAUCAUUUAUACAAAUAUGUAACACUUUAAAUACUUUCAUAAAAAUAAUAUAUGUUUUGAUGAUUGAUGUUUCCAUCAUCAUUUAUACAAAUAUUUAACACUUUAAAUACAUGAUAAAUCAUUUGAAAAACAUAUAACAUAAACUUUAUGAAAUAAUCAAAACUUUGAAUCAAAACACAAAACCUUUUAGUUCUUGGCAAGAACAUCAAGAACAAUGAAGAACAUCCAUGAAAACCCAUAAGAGCUCCAUGAAUGUUUUUUCAAGCCAAAAAACUCAAAUUUUGACCAUUCAAAAUGAUGUUAACAUCCUAGGGUACUUAGGGGUUACAAAAGUCACCUUAAAACACUUUUAACAAGACAAACAAUGAACCCAAAAAAUCACCCUUUGGAUUUGGCCGAAAAUCCCCAAAAUCAUGGCACCAAAUUUUAGCUCCAAUAUUCAUGCUCAUAUGAACUACAUCUACAACAUUUGAGAGAUGGCAAAUUUUCAAACAAAAUUUACAUUCAAAGAAAGCAAGAAUAAAGCUUGUAACAAUUACAACUUUUAAAUCAUAAACUUAUGAACUACAAAACCCAAAAGGAUUCACCAACUACUAGACCUAGGCUCUGAUACCACUUGAAGGAUUUAUUUUGAAAAACAUGUUCAUUUGAGCAACAUCAUAUAGCAUGCAAUUAACAAUUAAAGGCGGAAUCAUGCUUGCAUGCACUUCAAAAACAAAACAUUACCAUGAAAUUCAAAGCCUAGUAGAUUGGUGAACCAAUAAUCAACUCAAAACAAAGUGAGUUGAAAUUAUUACCUUUGUAGAUUCCUCUUUGCAUAAGCAAAGGCUAAUCACCCAAAGAGAUAGGGCCUUCAUUCCUUGCUUCUUAGAUCCAUGGAUUUGGAUAGAAAAUAGGUUUCUCCAAGUUCCCAAAAUAGGGAACCUCUAAGUCUCUUCACCAAGGUUUGAUUGUAGAAGAAAUGAGUGACCUUGGAGUAGUAGGAUUGCUAGAUGUACCCUCCAAGGUGUUGGCCUCUUUAGAGAGAAAAUGGAGAGACAAUUCUCACCCAUUUUCACCCAAAAUAAACCCUUAAUCACCUUAAUGAAUAUUUGGCUAUAAAGUCCUUUAUAUAGUCACUUCUUUAAGUGACCUAAACAACCAAAACCCUAAU
rnacentral:lncRNA from 1 species